GCUUCUCUUGCUUCCUUCGCUCGUCAACGUUCCUCUCAGUUCUUGCUGCUAUGGCGACGACUCCGAUCCUUACCGUUUCUAAUUUUCGUAGAGAUCCUCCCGAUCUGCAAAUCCGUGCCCUGUUCUGAUCGAGAUCUGAUGGUUGACGACAGAUCUGACUCAGAUCUCGCUUUUUUCUAUUGAUCUGGCCUUGGAUCGUCCUUUACGGCUACAUCAGAUGUGAGAUAUGUGAAUUGGUCACGUUGAGGCGCUGAGAUCUGGGAUACAAAGAGACUAAUCUGUUUCAUAAUCUAGCGAUUACCAGGCCGUGUGUGUUUGGAUUGAAGUGAGUUUAGGGUGUAUAAGAUGUGUUUGUGGAUAGGUAUGGUAUCCUGGAUUGCAUCUUUGUCAUCCGACCUUUGCCAUGUCAGGUGCGCUUGCAUGGCAGG